UACGUAGGGGGCAAGCGUUGUCCGGAUUUAUUGGGCGUAAAGAGCGUGUAGGCGGCUAUGCAGGUCCGUUGUGAAACUCGAGGCUCAACCUCGAGACGCCGAUGGAAACCGCAUGGCUAGAGUCCGGAAGAGGCGAGUGGAAUUCCUGGUGUAGCGGUGAAAUGACGCAGAUAUCAGGAGGAACACCAGUGGCGAAGGCG
rnacentral:rRNA from 1 species